UUGGAGUAUGCCAAGUCUGUCCUUGCCUCA
rnacentral:piRNA from 1 species